AUGGGGACAGACGGACAGAUGGGGCCGGAUGGGGAUAAGGACAGACAGACGGACGGGGACAGACGGACAAACGGGGAGGGGGACAGAUGGGGACAGACGGACAGAUGGCGAUAAGGACAGACAGACGGACGUGGAGGAGGACAGACGGACACAGAUAGGGACAGAUGGACAUAUGGGGCCAGAUGGGGAUAAGGACAGACAGACAGACAACAGACAGACAGACGGACGUGCAGCGGGACAGACGGACAGACGGGGACCGGGACAGAUGGGGACAGACGGACAGACGGCGAUAAGGACAGACAGAUGGACAGGGAUGGGGACAGACAGACAGACGUGGAUGGGGACAGACGGCAUAGGGACAUACGGGGCCAGAUGGGGAUAAGGACAGACGGACGGACACGGAUGGGGACAGACGGACAGACGGGGACAGGGACAGAUGGGGACAGACGGACAGAUGGGGACAGAUGGGGAUAAGGACAGACAGACGGACAUGGAUGGGGACAGACGACAGUGGGGACAGAUGGGGAUAAGGACAGACAGACAGACAUGGAGGGGGACAGACGGACAGACGGGGACAGAUGGGGACAGAUGGGGAUAAGGACAGACAGACAGACAGACCGGGACAGACAGACGGACAUGGAGGGGGACAGACAGACAGACGGGGACAGAUGGGGAUAAGGACAGACGGACGGACGUGGGGAGAAGGGGACACAGAUGGGGACAGACAGACACAGACAGAUGGGGACAGAGAGGCACAGAUGGGGACAGACAGACGGACGUGGAUCGGGACAGACAGACGGACACGGAUGGGGACAGACAGACACAGACAGAUGGGGACAGACGGACGGACGUGGAUGGGGACAGACAGACACAGAUGGGGACAGACAGACAGACACAGAGGGGGACAGACAGACAGAUGGGGACAGACAGACAGACGGACACGGAUGGGGACAGACAGACGGACAUGGAUGGGGACAGACGGACAGACGGGGCCGGAUGGGGAUAAGGACAGACAGACGGACGUGGAGGGGGACAGACGGACAUAUGGGGACAGAUGGGGAUCAGGACAGACAGACGGACACAGAUGGGGACAGCCGGCCAGGGGCAGGGAGGACAGAGGGACAGAUGGGGACAGAGGGACGGGGACGGACAGAGGGACAGAUGGGGACAGACGGACGGGGAUGGGGACGGCCUGCGGUGAUGGAUGGGGACAGACGGACGGGGACGGACGGACGGACGGACGGCGGCAGCUGCGGGGUUGGGGGGGGGAAUGGCUGAGUGCGGGGGGGCACUGCGGCCCCAUUCAGUCCCAUUCGUGGCCCCAUUCAGUCCCAUUCGUGGCCCUAUUGGUGGCCCCAUUCAGUCCCAUUGGUGGCCCUAUUGGUGGCCCUAUUGGUGGCCCCAUUGCUGUCCCCAUUCAGUCCCAUUGGUGGCCCCAUUGGUGGCCCCAUUGGUGGCCCCAUUCAGUCCCAUUGGUGGCCCCAUUGUUGGCCCCAUUCAGUCCCAUUGGUGGCCCUAUUGGUGGCCCUAUUGGUGGCCCAUUGCUGUCCCCAUUCAGUCCCAUUGGUGGCCCCAUUGGUGGCCC
ensembl:lncRNA